CACACUUUAUCCUCUAGCACUAUGAAAGAUGGAGCAGUUUGGUAUAAUAGUUUUACGAGAGUUGGAGCCACAGGGAAGUCAGCGGUCUUCACGUUUGGAAUGCAGAAGCUUGAGGUCACCAGGAAAGCCUUCUCCUGUGAUGGACACAGAGGGGUGCAUGUGUCUAAUAGUAGUUGGCAACUGGAUAUGGAGAAUGUAAACAAGAACUUAUGCGGGAUGCAGAUUAAACGAGGGAAGUUCAUACACUUCCAUUUAUCUGUAACAAAUGAUGCUGAGUUUCAGCAUGGAUGAUGAUAAAAACUCCGAAACUAUCAUCUCUCAAACAAUCUCAUUGCUGUCCUCUAAAGGUUUGCCCACUGGGAUGUUGAUAUCCACUGAGCCCCUAAAAAUCAGCUGAUAGCAGUGUGAGUAAGUUCUGGGGUGCCAAAACCUCACUAAGAAGGUCACAUCUGGAAGAACUGAGAAGCGAACCCCACAGAAUUCAAGAUUGACCUGUGGUGGACUCCACUGUGUUUACUGCCAAUUUGGGAUGAUGCGUUGCUGUAAAGUGCUACCAAUAAAUGGGAAGUUUGGGCUAGCAGGAAAAGAACAGCAUGAUGCAAAACUAUACUCAGACCGGAGUGCUUACCAGUGUGUUUGCCAGACAGAAGGAGGUUUAUUUCCUUCUCAUAAGAGCUGCUAACUGCACUGCAGUGGUGGAAAUGACCGUGAACUUCAGAAUUCAAGAAGGCUGUUCUAAAAAAUACUGCAAAAAGUGUGAAAAUGCUCUAAAAGUAUAGCUGGUCAUCCUAAGUACAAAUGAGAGAUCUACAAGGUGUUAUUCCACCAGAGGAAGAUCCUGUACUCUGCAGUCCCACUACGGACCUGACUGUGGCAGAGGAGGAGCAGCCAUCUACUUACAGGUCAAUUCUGAAAGGGUACUCUGAAGCGCUGGAACAUUUAACUCACAGUGAAGAAAUACUGCCCAGCUUCUGUUCAACAUCAUCGUCAGCCGCUUGGUUGGGCGAUUCUGGCCAGUGCACAAGGAACUGUAGGAGCCCUUCAGUGAUUACAGGACACCACAGAUGGCAUCUGCAAGGCUGAACCAUGGGGAUGAUGCUGCCGUUUUUGCAGGCAAAAGCUAUAGAAAAGUGAAGCAGGAGUCCCAAGAAAAUGCCUGGACUCAUGAGAGCUAAUCACAGCAGGGUCAUAGGAGGCAGAUACGUUUGCAGGACUGAUGCAGAGCUCCAUUGCUCGAGGUGGAUCCUGAGGAAUAGUUGCUAUUUAUUGCAGCCCAAUGUAUUGGAAUUCAAAACCAAGGAGAUCGAUCAUCCUCGCAUCAGAUCUGAGGUUUGGUACAUAGUAUGCAUUUUUUGCAGUGUGGUGGAACAAAGCAAUUAUUUCACAGCUGAAGGAAAACCAGAAGAUAUUUAAAAAUGGAAAGUUCCCUUCCCAAGCCAUAAUGGAUGACGACGGUAGUAGAAGUAAUAUAUUCAGAGGGACCAAAACAGGAUAACAAUUUUUCAGAAGCUGAAGAAAUAUAUGAGGGAAGAAGAGAGAUUGAUACAGCAGCAUUGGAACCAGCUUUGUCCUUGGAUUGCAAGGGAAUGGAGAAAUGAGGUGUCUUCACAGAUCUUUCUUAUGUGACCAAGUGGCAGAAAAUGCUGCAGAAAUCUACUUCAGACAAUUCUUUCCAUGCACCUAACGCAGCAAUUACAGAGUCUGGUAAAACUGAGACAGAAAUUGAAAACAGGUUAUUCAUAAAGAAACAAGACGGAAAGUGCCCAAACAAAAAGUGAAAUAGUUCAGAACCUGCCAGAAUCCUGCUGAUCUAUCAAGCUAAAGAAAAUACUGGACAUCAGCUGCCUCUUAUAGAAAUUCUUCUCUAGUCUGUGAUUCCAUGAAACUGCUUCAUCUGCACACUGCUCAACAGAUCGAAGCUCAGCUUCCGUACUUGGAAGCUUCUGAUGCUUUUGACUUAUUUCCUGGAGAAGCAAUAAACUUGGAGAGCCAUGUUCUUGUUCCUAAUUAUAUAAGAAUUUUACUGCAGGAUGUGGCAAGAAUAUU
rnacentral:lncRNA from 1 species